UUUCUAUAGAAACCAAAGAUGAAAGUUGAAGGGCUGUUUAUUGCUUACACACAUUACUUCUGAGUUUCCUUGAUAUGACGUUUGGAGCUGGAGGUCAUACUACAGCUCUUCUACAGAAAACCAGUGACAUUACAGUACAUGCACUAGACAGGGACCCCACGGCUUAUGAAAUAGCUCAACAACUCUCAGAAUCUUACCCAGGUUUAAACCAAGUUGGGGCUCCUGAAAGACAGCCUGUUUUACCCCAUCUGCCUUCAGAAAGGAAAGCAUAAGGUGUGUGUAAUCUCACUCAACUUGUCUGUAUUAUCUUCAAGUCCUGCAAUGUAUUGUUUU
rnacentral:lncRNA from 1 species